rnacentral:lncRNA from 1 species
UCAAAUCAGAUAAUGCCCCACACUGCUACGGCUGUCAAAAUUACACAGGUCCGCACACACCUACUAUCAGCACCCACAUUCACCUCCUCCCUACAAAUAUAUCCUCUGUACCCAACAGCCAUAGUCCACCCCUGGUUUUUCCUUCUCUAUUUGCACACUUUCCUUACUUCUCUUGUCUUUCCUCUUCUUGUUUCAAUGGUGGGAUAUCUUUAUAUGAUAGAAAAUCCGAACAUCAAAUGAUCCAUCCUAAAAAAUCUCAUGGUAUAAUUCGGGUGCCCAACUUCAUUUUAUAGUAGUCUCUUUAAUAUUGGUCACUAACACCAAUUCACAGAUUUUUGGUUACAAUCAUAUUGUAGUUUUGGUUAUAACUUUAAACUAGUGACUUGUGUUUGUUCUAGUUUAAAGAUCAAAUUCCAUGUAGGUGACUUGAAGGCAAGUGCCAAUAUGGAACCAUUAAGUUUGAUUUAUUCCUAGUGGUUUUUAGUACAAAAAUUGAAAGAUACAUGAUAAAACUCAUCUUAAAUUUGUAUUUGCUUAUACAACUGUUAAGUGUCAUAUCAUGAAGAAAAUCUAUACAAUUUUAGGCACUUAUUGUUUAGUUAUGAUGAAAUCCUUGUACAACUCUGAAGAAUCCAGUGUAAUUAUUUCUUGCUUAGGAAGCUUACAUAUGUUGUGUCAUUUCCAAGGUAAUGAGGUUGAAGAAGCUGAAAAUUGAAGAAGAUUUAUGAAAAAGAAAGCAUUGGUAUCUCGCCCAAACUAGAGGACCUUGCUCAAGCUAGAAAAGAGACCAAAUUUUAUGUCUCACUCUCGCCCAAGCGAGAUCACCUCACUCAAGCGAGAAGGACGAAUUAAAAACUCUGAAUUUCUCGCCCAAGCCAUAGUUGUCGCUCAAGCUAGAAGAGUUUCUUAAUGCUGAAAUUUGCUCUCUCGCUCGAGCGAGAGGCAAAAAUUCUAAUUUAGAUAUAGACGGAUACACGAAUGUGAGGGGGUUCCAAUCAGUUUCAAAGCACUUUCUUCAUACUUUCUAGAGAGAAAGCACGAGAGAGAAGUUUUGAGAACGACUUUAGAUAUGUAUUUUCUUGUAUUUUACAUCAUGCUAGUGUUGUAAUGCAUAGGAUGAAUGACUAAUUCUCUCUGUGUUGAGAUUGAAAUGUAAUCUUCUAACUCUUGUAUUCUUGGAU